rnacentral:rRNA from 1 species
GCUGGUCUCAGAUAGCCAUGCAUGGUCUAAGUAUAAGCAAUUAUACAGCGAAACAGCGAAUGGGCUCAUUAAUACUGUUAUAGUUUAUUUGGUAACUCAAAUUACAUGGAUAACCGUGGAAAUUCUAGAGCUAAUACAUGCGCAAAGGGCUUACCGCUCGUAUUUAUUAGAUAACAGACCAAUACAUAGGUGACUCAUAGUAACUGAUCGAAUCGCCGGCAUCUCGCUGCGAUAAAUCAUUCAAGUUUCUGCCCCAUCAGCUGUAGAUGGUAGUGUAUUGGACUACCAUGGCUUUCACGGGUAACGGAGGAUUAGGGUUCGAUUCCGGAGAGGGAGCCUGAGAAACGGCUACCACAUCUAAGGAAGGCAGCAGGCGCGUAAAUUACCCAAUACUGAUUCAGUGAGGUAGUGACAAGAAAUAGCGGGCCGGCUUCUUGCCGGGACUGAAAUGAUUAGAAUUUAACGACCUUUACGAGGAACAAUUGGAGGGCAAGUCUGGU